rnacentral:rRNA from 1 species
UUUACACAUGCAGUCGAACGGCAGCACGAGAGAGCUUGGCUCUCUUGGUGGCGAGUGCCGGACGGGUGAGUAAUAUAUCGGAACGUGCCCAGUAGCGGGGGAUAACUACUCGAAAGAGUGGCUAAUACCGCAUACGCCCUACGGGGGAAAGGGGGGGAUUCUUCGGAACCUCUCACUAUUGGAGCGGCCGAUAUCGGAUUAGCUAGUUGGUGGGGUAAAGGCUCACCAAGGCAACGAUCCGUAGCUGGUUUGAGAGGACGACCAGCCACACUGGGACUGAGACACGGCCCAGACUCCUACGGGAGGCAGCAGUGGGGAAUUUUGGACAAUGGGGGAAACCCUGAUCCACCCAUCCCGCGUGUAUGAUGAAGGCCUUCGGGUUGUAAAGUACUUUUGGCAUAGAAGAAAAGGUAACUCCUAAUACGAGAUACUGCUGACGGUAUCUGCAGAAUAAGCACCGGCUAACUACGUGCCAGCAGCCGCGGUAAUACGUAGGGUGCAAGCGUUAAUCGGAAUUACUGGGCGUAAAGCGUGUGUAGGCGGUUCGGAAAGAAAGAUGUGAAAUCCCAGGGCUCAACCUUGGAACUGCAUUUUUAACUGCCGAGCUAGAGUAUGUCAGAGGGGGGUAGAAUUCCACGUGUAGCAGUGAAAUGCGUAGAUAUGUGGAGGAAUACCGAUGGCGAAGGCAGCCCCCUGGGAUAAUACUGACGCUCAGACACGAAAGCGUGGGGAGCAAACAGGAUUAGAUAC